rnacentral:rRNA from 1 species
UACGGGGGGGGCAAGCGUUGUUCGGAAUUACUGGGCGUAAAGGGCUCGUAGGCGGCCAACUAAGUCAUACGUGAAAUCCCUCAGCUUAACUGGGGAACUGCGUGUGAUACUGGAUGGCUUGGAUUUGGGAGAGGGAUGCGGAAUUCCAGGUGUAGCGGUGAAAUGCGUAGAUAUCUGGAGGAACACCGGUGGCGAAGGCGGCAUCCUGGACCAAUAUUGACGCUGAGGAGCGAAAGCCAGGG